GAUGAACGCUGGCGGCGUGCCUAAUACAUGCAAGUCGAACGCAUUGUGGUUGAAAUGAUAUGAAGAACUUGUUCAGAUUUGAUUUUCAACAUUGCAAUGAGUGGCGAACGGGUGAGUAACACGUGGGAAACCUACCUCUUAGCAGGGGAUAACAUUUGGAAACAAAUGCUAAUACCGUAUAAUAAUUAAAACCGCAUGGUUUUAGUUUAAAAGAUGGUCUUGCUAUCACUAAGAGAUGGUCCCGCGGUGUAUUAGUUAGUUGGUGAGGUAAUGGCUCACCAAGACAAUGAUACAUAGCCGAGUUGAGAGACUGACCGGCCACAAUGGGACUGAGACACGGCCCAUACUCCUACGGGAGCAGCAGUAGGGAAUCUUCCACAAUAGGACGAAAGUCUGAUGGAGCAACGCCGCGUGUGUGAUGAAGGGUUUCGGCUCGUAAACACUGUUGUAAGAGAAGAAUGACAUUGAGAGUAACUGUUCAAUGUGUGACGGUAUCUU
rnacentral:rRNA from 1 species